rnacentral:tRNA from 1 species
GAGAGAGGCCUGCCCGCAGCGAAGGUUGCUAACCCACGCCUCCCGGGUUGGACUCCCGGGCUCUACUCG